AGUUUGAUCCUGGCUCAGGAUGAACGCUAGCUACAGGCUUAACACAUGCAAGUCGAGGGGCAGCAUUGGGGUAGCAAUACUUCAGAUGGCGACCGGCGCACGGGUGAGUAACACGUAUCCAACCUGCCGCUUACUCGGGGAUAGCCUUUCGAAAGAAAGAUUAAUACCCGAUGGUAUAAAGAGUUCGCAUGUUCUCUUUAUUAAAGAAUUUCGGUAAGCGAUGGGGAUGCGUUCCAUUAGAUAGUUGGCGGGGUAACGGCCCACCAAGUCUACGAUGGAUAGGGGUUCUGAGAGGAAGGUCCCCCACAUUGGAACUGAGACACGGUCCAAAUCCUACGGGAGGCAGCAGUGAGGAAUAUUGGUCAAUGGACGAGAGUCUGAACCAGCCAAGUAGCGUGAAGGAUGACUGCCCUAUGGGUUGUAAACUUCUUUUAUAAGGGAAUAAAGUGAGGGACGUGUCCCUUUUUGUAUGUACCUUAUGAAUAAGGAUCGGCUAACUCCGUGCCAGCAGCCGCGGUAAUACGGAGGAUCCAAGCGUUAUCCGGAUUUAUUGGGUUUAAAGGGAGCGUAGGUUGACAUAUAAGUCAGCUGUGAAAGUUUACGGCUCAACCGUGAAAUUGCAGUUGAUACUGUAUGUCUUGAGUGUACAAGAGGUGGGCGGAAUUCGUGGUGUAGCGGUGAAAUGCUUAGAUAUCACGAAGAACUCCAAUUGCGAAGGCAGCUCACUGGGGUACAACUGACGCUGAGGCUCGAAAGUGUGGGUAUCAAACAGGAUUAGAUACCCUGGUAGUCCACACAGUAAACGAUGAAUACUCGCUGUUUGCGAUAUACAGUAAGCGGCCAAGCGAAAGCAUUAAGUAUUCCACCUGGGGAGUACGCCGGCAACGGUGAAACUCAAAGGAAUUGACGGGGGCCCGCACAAGCGGAGGAACAUGUGGUUUAAUUCGAUGAUACGCGAGGAACCUUACCCGGGCUUGAAUUGCAGAGGAACAUAGUUGAAAGAUUAUGGCCGCAAGGUCUCUGUGAAGGUGCUGCAUGGUUGUCGUCAGCUCGUGCCGUGAGGUGUCGGCUUAAGUGCCAUAACGAGCGCAACCCUUAUCAUUAGUUACUAACAGGUGAUGCUGAGGACUCUAGUGAGACUGCCGUCGUAAGAUGUGAGGAAGGUGGA
rnacentral:rRNA from 1 species